UACGAAGGGGGCUAGCGUUGCUCGGAAUCACUGGGCGUAAAGCGCACGUAGGCGGCUUCUAAGUCAGGGGUGAAAUCCUGGAGCUCAACUCCAGAACUGCCUUUGAUACUGGAGAGCUUGAGUCCGGAAGAGGUGAGUGGAACUCCGAGUGUAGAGGUGAAAUUCGUAGAUAUUCGGAAGAACACCAGUGGCGAAGGCGGCUCACUGGUCCGGUACUGACGCUGAGGUGCGAAAGCGUGGGGAGCAAACAGGG
rnacentral:rRNA from 1 species